CCUACGGGAGGCUGCAGUGGGGAAUAUUGGACAAUGGGGGGAACCCUGAUCCAGCCAUGCCGCGUGUGUGAAGAAGGCCCUCGGGUUGUAAAGCACUUUCAGUGAGGAAGAACGCCUGGUGGUUAAUACCCAUCAGGAAAGACAUCACUCACAGAAGAAGCACCGGCUAACUCCGUGCCAGCAGCCGCGGUAAUACGGAGGGUGCGAGCGUUAAUCGGAAUUACUGGGCGUAAAGCGCGCGUAGGUGGCUUGAUAAGCCGGUUGUGAAAGCCCCGGGCUCAACCUGGGAACGGCAUCCGGAACUGUCAAGCUAGAGUGCAGGAGAGGAAGGUAGAAUUCCCGGUGUAGCGGUGCAAUGCGUAGAGAUCGGGAGGAAUACCAGUGGCGAAGGCGGCCUUCUGGAAUGACACUGACACUGAGGUGCGAAAGCGUGGGUAGCAAACAGGAUUAGAUACCCGUGUAGUC
rnacentral:rRNA from 1 species